ACACUAGUAAUGACCACCAUUAUUAUUACCGACAUGACCAAUGUUGGGGCAGGCUGCUAACCGAAAAGAAAUUCAAAAAAGGCCUGUAUCCAACGAGAUACAGGCCUUUUUUUA
rfam:Vibrio genomosp. F10 strain 9CSC122 9CSC122_contig_214, whole genome shotgun sequence.